CAAAUUGAGCCUUGCUAACACCAGUCCUUACACGACGGGGCGGCACGCUGGAGCUUCGUUUGAUUGCAGGAAUCUAUCUCAAGCCCAUAACUUGUGCCUCCGCUCGCAUGAUGAAGGGUUAGGGCUUUGAUUUUCACUCCCUUCCAUUCCAAAGCCGUGCAAAAUUAAUUCCAGUCCUGUUAGGGUUAGGGUUUAACGAUUUCAUAGACAUGUAUGCUGAUCGAGUGGAGGCUGCGGCGAAGAGGUCGGUAAAG
rnacentral:misc_RNA from 1 species